rnacentral:rRNA from 1 species
GAUGAACGCUGGCGGCGUGCCUAAUACAUGCAAGUCGAGCGAACAGAUAAGGAGCUUGCUCCUUUGACGUUAGCGGCGGACGGGUGAGUAACACGUGGAUAACCUACCUAUAAGACUGGGAUAACUUCGGGAAACCGGAGCUAAUACCGGAUAACAUAUUGAACCGCAUGGUUCAAUAGUGAAAGGCGGCUUUGCUGUCACUUAUAGAUGGAUCCGCGCCGUAUUAGCUAGUUGGUAAGGUAACGGCUUACCAAGGCAACGAUACGUAGCCGACCUGAGAGGGUGAUCGGCCACACUGGAACUGAGACACGGUCCGGACUCCUACGGGAGGCAGCAGUAGGGAAUCUUCCGCAAUGGGCGAAAGCCUGACGGAGCAACGCCGCGUGAGUGAUGAAGGUCUUCGGAUCGUAAAACUCUGUUAUCAGGGAAGAACAAAUGUGUAAGUAACUGUGCACAUCUUGACGGUACCUGAUCAGAAAGCCACGGCUAACUACGUG